rnacentral:rRNA from 1 species
UGGGGGAUAUUGCACAAUGGGCGCAAGCCUGAUGCAGCGACGCCGCGUGGGGGAUGAAGGCCUUCGGGUUGUAAACUUCUUUUGCUCUGAACAAGGCGCACUUUGGGGUGUGUUGAGUGUAGGGGUUGAUUAGCGCCGGCUAACUACGUGCCAGCAGCCGCGGGAAUACGUAGGGCGCGAGCGUUGUCCGGAAUUAUUGGGCGUAAAGGGCUUGUAGGUGGCUGGUUGCGUCUGUCGUGAAAGCUCAUGGCUUAACUGUGGGUUUGCGGUGGGUACGGGCUGGCUUGAGUGCAGUAGGGGAGGCUGGAAUUCCUGGUGUAGCGGUGGAAUGCGCAGAUAUCAGGAGGAAUACCGGUGGCGAAGGCGGGUCUCUGGGCUGUUACUGACACUGAGGAGCGAAAGCAUGGGGAGCGAACAGG